AGUCGAGCGGGAAGUCCUUCGGGANGAGUACAGCGGCGGACGGGUGAGAAACGCGUAAGAAUCUGCCCUUCAGUGAGGAAUACCUCCGAGAAAUCGGAGUUAAUACUGCAUACGUCCCUACGGGGAGAAAGAUGGCCUCUUUGCUGUCGCUGAUGGAUGAGCUUGCGUACUAUUAGCUAGUUGGUGGGGUAAAGGCCUACCAAGGCGGUGAUGGUUAACCGGCCUGAGAGGGUGUUCGGUCACAUUGGAACUGAGACACGGUCCAGACUCCUACGGGAGGCAGCAGUGGGGAAUAUUGCGCAAUGGGCGAAAGCCUGACGCAGCGACGCCGCGUGGAGGAUGAAGGUCUUAGGAUUGUAAACUUCUGUUAAGUGGGAAAAAAGACUCGCUCCUAAUACGAGCGAGGGAUGAUGGUACCACUAGAGAAAGCACCGGCUAAUCUCGUGCCAGCAGCCGCGGUAAUACGAGAGGUGCAAGCGUUAUUCGGAUUAAUUGGGUGUAAAGGGUGCGUAGACGGCGCGUUAAGUUUGUUGUUAAAUCUUCCGGCUCAACCGGAAACAUGCGGCAAAUACUGGCGUGCUAGAGGAUGGAAGAGAGAAGUGGAAUUCUUGGAGUAGCGGUAAAAUGCGUAGAUCUCAAGAGGAACACCGAUGGCGAAGGCAGCUUCUUGGUCCAUUCCUGACGUUGAGGCACGAAAGCGUGGGGAGCAAACAGGAUUAGAUACCCUGGUAGUCCACGCCGUAAACGAUAAUCACUAGACGUUGGUUCUGUUUAACGGAAUCAGUGUCGUAGCUAACGCGUUAAGUGAUUCACCUGGGAAGUACGGUCGCAAGAUUAAAACUCAAAUGAAUUGACGGGGGUCCGCACAAGCGGUGGAACAUGUGGUUUAAUUCGACACUACGCGAGGAAC
rnacentral:rRNA from 1 species